rnacentral:misc_RNA from 1 species
GUAAAAUAGCAAGUGAAGCACUAUCUUUUUCACAGCUUUCUAUUUUUGGGAACUCAUUAAUUCAAAGCUUGAAACUCUGUUGUUGGCAUCACCUACUUGGGAUGCUAUUGAAGAGGUCUCUUUCUUUUGUUACCUUGUUUGAGUGAGUGUGGGCAUUCCUAUCCAACCAAGCAUGGUAUUUACUUGCUGUCCUUGUGGAAUUGAGAAUCAAAACCCUGGGUUCUUACCCUUUACAUUUGCAACACACUGAAUCUAAGAUGUAGCCAGAUCAAAUUGAUUUCCUGGUCACCAUGUUUAAUUUUCUUGAUAAAACUUACAUAUCAUAAAUUUGGUCUCAGGAUUCCGCAA